rfam:Armatimonadetes bacterium CSP1-3 XT14_C0049, whole genome shotgun sequence.
CCGCGAGAAAGGCACCCCGCCCGCGAGGGCGGUCCGCAAAGCCGCGGGACUGGAGCGAUCCAGUCGGCCGGGCUGCCGAA